UUUUAAAGAAAUUAGGCAGACAGACAUAAUGAAGUUGGGAUCAGUGCGCUGUGGGAGCAAGACCAUCACUUCCAGGACUCAUUGACCUCUACACUGCAGAUAGUUCUCAUUGACAGCUGCUGUAAGUUCAGGGCUGUUGGCCUGCUGCAGAAUGAAUUUAGGGCCAAUCAGAUGUCUCCCCAAAGAAAUGCAGCCCCA